UCUGUACCAGGGAAGAAAGUGGUCAGUCAGAAACUCCACAUACUUUGCAGAGGUCAUCUUUACACCUUCGGGGAACCUAAAGGGGCUGAUCAGCUCUCUUCCCAUGAUUUUGGCCCAAAACAUGACUCCACCACUGCCUUGCUGAUGUCACAGCCUUGUUGGAACAGGGUGGCCGUCCACCAACCAUCCAUUACUCCAUCCAUCUGGACCAUCCAGGGUUGC